rnacentral:rRNA from 2 species
GCUGUACCAUGUUGACGGAGCGAAGCGACGUCAAACCGAUAAAACAGCAGUGUAAAGUGAGCCGCAGGGCGCUUUGCGCGACAGCGCAAAGGCAGGCGGUUUCGCGUAGCGAAAGCGAAUGCUUUGGGGUGGGGUGACUGCGUACCUUUUGUAUAAUGGGUCAGCGACUUAUAUUCUGUAGCAAGGUUAACCGAAUAGGGGAGCCG